CCUACGGGAGGCAGCAGUAGGGAAUAUUGGGCAAUGGAGGCAACUCUGACCCAGCCAUGCCGCGUGAACGAAGAAGGCGCUAUGCGUCGUAAAGUUCUUUUAGAGGGGGCGAAAACACUUGAUUCAUCAAGUACUGACGGUACCUUCGGAAUAAGCACCGGCUAACUCUGUGCCAGCAGCCGCGGUAAUACAGAGGGUGCAAGCGUUAUCCGGAAUCACUGGGUUUAAAGGGUGCGUAGGCGGGAUUAUAAGUCAGAGGUGAAAUCUCGUCGCUUAACGACGGAAUUGCCUUUGAUACUGUUUUUCUUGAAAUUUGUUGAGGUUGGCGGAAUGAGACAUGUAGCGGUGAAAUGCUUAGAUAUGUCUUAGAACACCGAUUGCGAAGGCAGCUGACUGGACAAUAUUUGACGCUGAGGCACGAAAGCGUGGGGAUCAAACAGGAUUAGAUACCCUGGUAGUCCACGCCCUAAACGAUGUUACUUGCUGUUUGUUUUCGGAAUGAGUGNGAGAGAAGAGAUAGUAACACCNGGAGUACGCCGCGAGGUAGAACGACAANAGAGUAGACGCGUGAGACGUGCCGACGGACGACGACGAGGGAGGUUAGG
rnacentral:rRNA from 1 species